rnacentral:rRNA from 1 species
GAUGAACGCUGGCGGCGUGCCUAAUACAUGCAAGUCGAGCGAACAGACGAGGAGCUUGCUCCUCUGACGUUAGCGGCGGACGGGUGAGUAACACGUGGACAACCUACCUAUAAGACUGGGAUAACUUCGGGAAACCGGAGCUAAUACCGGAUAAUAUAUUGAACCGCAUGGUUCAAUAGUGAAAGACGGUUUUGCUGUCACUUAUAGAUGGAUCCGCGCCGCAUUAGCUAGUUGGUAAGGUAACGGCUUACCAAGGCAACGAUGCGUAGCCGACCUGAGGGGGUGAUCGGCCACACUGGAACUGAGACACGGUCCAGACUCCUACGGGAGGCAGCAGUAGGGAAUCUUCCGCAAUGGGCGAAAGCCUGACGGAGCAACGCCGCGUGAGUGAUGAAGGUCUUCGGAUCGUAAAACUCUGUUAUUAGGGAAGAACAAAUGUGUAAGUAACUAUGCACGUCUUGACGGUACCUAAUCAGAAAGCCACGGCUAACUACGUG